AUGCUGAUUGGCAAGGCAGAGGCCAGGCCUUUGUGGGAUGCACAGCACAGAGACGAGCGGCCAUCUCUGGGCAAAUGCAGGGGCCUCUACAUUCGAGUCCGGAAGGUCCCUGGGGAGCGGGCCACAGAACGGCUAUCCCCUUCCCCCAAGGUGGAGCUGACAGCCACUGCCUGUGCCUUGUUGUCUGCCCGGCAGGCCAGCACUCCAUGGCUGGGAGCAACCUGCAGUGCCCCCUGGGCUUUUACAGUUCCUGCUGCUGUGGCCUCCACCCUUGGACCAGAUGAAGGAGUUCAUCCCUCUGCCCAUGACCCCACUGCUCCGACCCCUCCACCUGGGCCCCCAUGCUGCUGGAAUGGAGUGAUGGCUUUGUGGCUGGGCCCCAACAGCACCUGCAGUCGGCUCCCAGAACUCACAGACAGCGAGGACUGCCAGGUGCCCCGUGUGUGCAGUACAGGUGCAGAGGAGGACGAGGCAGGCCCCCUGGGAGCUGGCUAUGCCCCUGCGGUGUCCUAGAACAGCUGCAACUGUUGGGACUGCAGAGCCACAGAGAGUUGGAGGAGAAGGUGAGAGCCUUUCCUUAGCCCCAAAGCUCCACAGACCACGUGGACUAAUUCCUGCUCACUUCCAUGUGCAGGGAAUUUUCUUUUUCAGAGGAAGUUGGAGGGACAGAGAGCUUGGGGGAUCCACAAAGAGUCUCGGCAGA